UACGUAGGGUGCGAGCGUUAAUCGGAAUUACUGGGCGUAAAGCGUGCGCAGGCGGUUUUGUAAGCCAGAUGUGAAAGCCCCGGGCUCAACCUGGGAAUGGCAUUUGGGACUGCAAGGCUUGAGUGCGGCAGAGGAGACUGGAAUUCCUGGUGUAGCAGUGAAAUGCGUAGAUAUCAGGAGGAAUACCGAUGGCGAAGGCAGGUCUCUGGGCUGACACUGACGCUCAUGCGCGAAAGCGUGGGGAGCAAACAGG
rnacentral:rRNA from 1 species